AGACUAACCUGGCAGGGAGGUUCUAUGAUCAGGAGGUGUUUUCCCAGCAAGCAGCUUAUUCAUGUCACUUGGAUAUGUUGUCCCCUGAGAUUUCCCCAAACGUAGUAAACUCAACUGUAUAGUUUGUGAUAGUGGAGGGGACUGCAUUCCCAUUCUCUUCUG
ensembl:snRNA Rnu1-73 RNA, U1 small nuclear 73